AGGUCUUUGUGGGAAAAAGAACAACUAGAAGAAGAAAGAAGACUUUGUUAUGUAGGCAUAACUAGAGCCAAAGAAACAUUGAUUUUGUGUUAUGCCAGUAAA
rnacentral:sRNA from 1 species